rnacentral:rRNA from 1 species
GAUGAACGCUGGCGGCGUGCCUAAUACAUGCAAGUCGAGCGAACGGACGAGAAGCUUGCUUCUCUGAUGUUAGCGGCGGACGGGUGAGUAACACGUGGAUAACCUACCUAUAAGACUGGGAUAACUUCGGGAAACCGGAGCUAAUACCGGAUAAUAUUAUGAACCGCAUGGUUCAAAAGUGAAAGACGGUCUUGCUGUCACUUAUAGAUGGAUCCGCGCUGCAUUAGCUAGUUGGUAAGGUAACGGCUUACCAAGGCAACGAUGCAUAGCCGACCUGAGAGGGUGAUCGGCCACACUGGAACUGAGACACGGUCCAGACUCCUACGGGAGGCAGCAGUAGGGAAUCUUCCGCAAUGGGCGAAAGCCUGACGGAGCAACGCCGCGUGAGUGAUGAAGGUCUUCGGAUCGUAAAGCUCUGUUAUUAGGGAAGAACAUAUGUGUAAGUAACUGUGCACAUCUUGACGGUACCUAAUCAGAAAGCCACGGCUAACUACGUG